UACGAGGGGGGCGAGCGUUGUUCGGAAUUAUUGGGCGUAAAGGGUGCGUAGGCGGUUUGGUAAGUCUUGUGUGAAAUCUUCGGGCUCAACUCGAAGUCUGCACGAGAAACUGCCGGGCUUGAGUAUGGGAGAGGUGAGUGGAAUUCCCGGUGUAGCGGUGAAAUGCGUAGAUAUCGGGAGGAAUACCAGUGGCGAAGGCGUUCUGCUGGGCCGUUGCUGACACUGAGGCGCGACAGCGUGGGGAGCAAACAGG
rnacentral:rRNA from 1 species